CCCAUGGGACAGGUGAGGGGCUCGGACGGAGCCGUGGGGGGACAGCGACUGGGGGCCUCCAUGCCUUCACCACGCGCUCUACGGAGGCUUCUCCAUUGUCCCUGCUGGAGAUUGGGUCCCUCGGUCUCCCUUGCACCAGGCACCCUUGGGCUCCAGGGGAGGGUGCGUGGGGGCGGUGUGGCUGCAGCCUCAGUCCCUGCCCCUCCAGCCCACAGCCCCCAUCCCGUAGCCCUUCCUGGAUCUGGAGAGAGCAGCUGCUGCUGCCCCACCACCUGCCAGGCCCGGCCACUGAGCAGCCCCCCGGAGCCCCAGGUAGGACAGGCCCUGCUGCCUCUACUACCCCUAAGAGCCUCUCACUGACUGUGAGCCUGUUAUAAUCCCCAAGCGUCCCCCCAGAUCCCCGUUCCCCCCAGGUGGCCUGGGAGGUGGCCCCCUCGAGGAUGACUCCACUAGCGCCCUGGGACCCCAAGUAUGAAGCCAAAGCAGGACCUCGGCCGGUGUGGGGGGCCAACUGUAGCUCAGGAGCCUCGUUCUCAGGCCGGACGCUGUGUCACCCCUCAUUCUGGCCGCUGUAUGAAGCAGCCUCGGGCAGGGGUCUCAGGCCCGUGGCCCCUGCCACAGGGCACUGGAAUGGACAGCAGGCGCCCCCAGAUGCAGGUACCUCCCUUGGUCCCCCGGGGGCGCAAGGCUGCCCCAACUCCUCUGGGAACCAGUGCCCAGGGGUGGGAGCCCGCAGCCCGCCACCCUAGUGGUGUUUCCUCCUAGGGUUCCCGGUGGUGUGCUGUGAAGAUGUCUUCCUCUCGGACCCUCUGCUGCCCCGGGGGCAGCGUGUUCCCCUGUACCUGUCCAAGGCCCCCCAGCAGAUGAUGGGCUCCCUGAAACUGCUGCCGCCGCCCCCCAUCAUGUCUGCCAGGGUGCUCCCCCGCCCAUCACCCUCCCGGGGCCCCUCCACUGCCUGGCUCAGCGGGCCGGAGCUGAUCGCUCUCACUGGCCUGCUGCAGAUGAGCCAGGGGGAGCCUAGGCCCAGCUCCUCCGCGGUUGGCCCCCCAGACCAUACCUCUGACCCACCCAGCCCCUGUGGUAGCCCCAGCAGUUCUCAGGGUGCUGACCUCUCUCUCCCACAGACCCCAGACACCCAUUGUCCAUAGCCUUCUCAGGGCAGAGUGGGCUGGUUGUGUUGACAAUAAAACAGUGUUGGUUUGCAAAACAGGCUCCGUGUGGCUGGGAGCAGAGUAAGUCAUAGAGGCAGGAAUGGGGUCUCUUUCUGUCUCACUGCAGAUCACCCCCUGCUGUGUUAGGCGGAGGGCGAGGGUAUCCAUGACCUAAGGCAUUUCUGGGCUGACUGGGCAGAGCCCCUUUAAUGAGUGGGUGGGUGGUCUGCAUGGCAGUGCAGGGCUGAAUGUAUAGGAAGCAGGCGGGGGAGUAAGUAGGGGCACCUCACUUUUAGGGGACACUAGCCCCACACCUCUUGUGCUGGGGCUCCAGGAGUUCAGUUCUGGGCUGGGUGGGGUAGUUGUCUGGCUCAGAGGAGACACAAAGAAUGCACUGCAGGUGUGUGGGGGAGGGUGCCGGUCCAUGUAAAUGUCACCACUGGCAGAAAGGUGGCCCUGCCGCAGCCUACCUGAGACUCUAGAGAUUCUUGCACGAACUCUGUAGAGAAACAGGAUCAGGGUUUCAGCUGAGAAAGCCCAGAAGUGUGUAGUCUCGGUGGUUUGGGCGGGGAUAGGUUCUAGAAUUUUCUCCCAUAAAAUAGCCCAACUUCUUGGAGAACCUUCUACUCAAGACUUAGGUGCCACAGCUGGAAGGGACACAGGGGGCAGGACCCCAGCUUGUUGCCCUGCAGGUCACUUGUCCGAGGUGGCAUCUGGGCCUUAAAGCCCCUCACACGGUGGGGAGUUAGGAGGCAGGGCGGGGGCGUUACAAUGCCAUUCCCUCCAGUCCCUCCCUCAACCACCCCCCCAUCAGUCAGCAGGAGAGAGCUGCCUGGGUCUCAGGUCUCCUCACCGCAUAGCUAUGUGGGCGGAGCGUGUGGGCCCUGGGGACGUCACCAAGUGCCCCCAGAGAAAGGACCAGGUCCAGAUCGACGUAGCUGAGGCAGCUCGUCAGGGGCUCUGGCCUGGCGGUGCCGGUUCCGAGGCUCUCUGGGGCCGAUAACUUGGUGCACACUUCACUCCCUAGCCAGCUCUGAGGGGGGCAGGAGCAGCGCUGAGUCCCUACCCAUCCCCA
rnacentral:lncRNA from 10 species